ensembl:lincRNA
GGCGGGAACUGGAAAGGAUGGGAGUUCGGUGGCAAGAUGGGAGAGCUGAGAGGAAGGAAACUGGGCGGGGAGGGGUUAGGGGGGCCCAGGAGGCUGUUUGGGGGGAAACACGCGGCCCAUCGGAUUUGGCCGCAGAGAGCGGGCCCAGGGGCAGCCCAGACUGACGAGGGACUCCGCUGGGCGCCCUCGGUCCAGGAGUUACUCCAAAGCCUCGCUCCCGGACGCCCUUCUGAGAACCGGCCCACUGCGUCCCUCCGUGGAGGAGCCCAUUUUCAGGGGCUGCCCCUGCGCGGUCUCGGGAUCCGGGGUGUAGAGCAGGAUGGGGGGCGCCGGCUGCUGGACCCCUGGCGCGAAGCGGACCCCCACCACCACCAUGGCCCCUUACUCCCCGCGUCCCGCCCCGCCCUCCGGCCCCUCUGGGGGCGCACAAGAGGCCCCUCUAUUCCGAGGGAAAUCAAUGUCGCGUUAAUCUGUCCCUAGGCUACACCCUCCCCUCCAGCCAGGGUCCCUGCCUGGCUCUCUCCUGGUUCCUGUGCACCCUCUCCGUGGAGAUGAGCCAAGGAGCGCCAUCCCCCAACAUAGAGGUAGCUGCACCCCCUUGGCCUGGCUCCCCACCCUCUUUCCUGCCUUGGUACCAGAAGUGCCAAACUGAGAGGGAACACACCUCCCCCAUCAGUCUUCUGGGCAGAUGGGCAGCCUCAUCCCUCUGCUUUCCCAGGCUUCUGAUAACCUACCUCCCCUGUGGCCCGUCUGCCCUGCCCAGGCGUUGGCAUGGGGCAAGACCCCUACGACGUCUCAACUCAAGGCCUACAGUGUGGACCCCGAAGAUCAACCCCCCUUUUCUUAGCAGGGAUGGAUAUUUGGGUACAUCUGCAUGGGUUUUAUUUUCUGGAGAGGCCUUUUGAGGUGCCCAAGAGGGGAAGCGGAGGCAGAAGAGAGCCUAGAACCCAGUGACCUCCUUACUCCCCAAGGGUCGCAUCCUUGGUCCCAAACCACUCUGAGGACCUCCACUUCCUUGCCUGCUCCCCCAUCCUCCCAUCGGCAACCACGAUGAGAGUUUUAAGGCCCCCCAUUCCAACCUUCCUGCUGCACCAUAGGGGAGCUCCCAAACGCCUGAAAAUAUCUUUAAAUUAGGAAAAAGAGCUAAGCCGCCAGGGUCCUUUGGUCUAUUAAAGGAGGAGCACAGGCCACCGGCGCCCCCACCCCCUUUACUCUGGUUUUGCAUUUGAAGCGCUGACGGCAGAUCCAGCUGGAACAAUGACAGGGCCUGCCCAGCCGGCCCCAGCUGCUUCCUUUUCAGUGGCCCUGUGCCCCCUGCCAGGUGUGCCAAAAUUAGGAUGGCUCCCUUCUCCGGUCCUUUUCAUCCCCCCAGGGCUGCUGGGGCCUCUGAGGCGCUAAUGAAACCCCUGUUGCUGCCUUCCCUUUUCUUCGCAGAGCUGGCCUGGGGGAGGCCGAGGCACGGCUGUGCCUGGAAAUCUGUCCUCUAAGAACUGCCCCCUGGAACAUAUUCAUGCGCUAUCCUCAGUCGGAGUCUUCAUUGCAGCAGCUCCCCGCUUUCCCCCUCCCUACUCCUCCAAUCCCUUAAAGUCCCCUUGACAGCCACCUCCUCCAGGUAGCCCUCAAGCCUGCUGGCAUUUGCUCUUUGUCUUGCGGUUGGGCAAUGGAGUCAAGGCUACCUGGGCCACCUCUUUCUGGCUAUGUGGCCUCCCCGCUGGGUGACUUAACCGUUUAGAACUUCAAUUUCCCCAUCUGUCAAAUGAGGAUAAUUACAAAAGCCUAUGUCAUGAGUCUUUUAUGAUGCUGAAAAGAAGUAGUAAGUGUCAAGUGGGUAGGACAGCUCCUAGCCCUGUUGCUCCAGCCACACUGGCCCCUCGCUGAGCCCCCAAACACACCCAUGUCCCACCCGUGACUUCCCACUGGCACUUCUUUCUAGAUCUCUCUACAGCUCCUCCUCUCUUUAUUCCUGUCUCUGCUCAUAUGUCCACGCCUCAGAAGGAACUUCCCUGGCCACUUAGCCCUCCUCACUUGUAUUAUCACCUCCUGACAUUAUAUUACUUACCUGAGCUCAGGCUCUGGAACCUGGGUUCAAAUCAUGGCUUCACAGUUACAGGCUGUGUGACGUUGGGCACGUUGCUUCACUUCUCUGAGUCUCAGUUCCAACACGGAUGAGCCCUCAG